UACGGAGGGGGCUAGCGUUGUUCGGAAUUACUGGGCGUAAAGCGCACGUAGGCGGCUUUGUAAGUUAGAGGUGAAAGCCCGGGGCUCAACCCCGGAACUGCCUUUAAGACUGCAUCGCUUGAAUCCAGGAGAGGUGAGUGGAAUUCCGAGUGUAGAGGUGAAAUUCGUAGAUAUUCGGAAGAACACCAGUGGCGAAGGCGACUUCCUGGCCUGUUCUUGACGCUGAGGCGCGAAAGCUAGGGUAGCAAACGGG
rnacentral:rRNA from 1 species